CUCACUUGCUCUCCCUGUGUGUCCCUUUCUCUCAAACGGCCCCUCUUCAGCAUUCCUGCUUUAAACUUGCUCUUCUUUUUUUCCCCUAUCUAUUGGCAAGAUGUGUGUUUGAAAGACAGGUGUCCUCCUUUUCUCCUGUGAAGAAAGAAAGGCAGCCUUGCUCCUUGGGCACCAUGAAGUCCACAGCACAGAGGUUUGGGCAGCUGCAGAUCUCCUUCAUCACAUAUGCCUUCCUGUCUGCACUGACUGUCCUUACAUCUAGAGGACAUCUGUAUGUGCUGCAAUAAUAUUUCAACUGUCAUCUCCUGACAAGCUGUGCAUAGUACAGGAAUUGCUGGAGGCAUGACGGUAAAAGAAUCACAAAGCCGGCAACAAUUUAGAAAUGUUUUAAUAAGGGAAUUAUUCAUCAACACAAUGAUUCAUGCUCACCAGUUUUCCAGAGGAGAUGGCCACAGCAUUUUUUUCCACUGGGAGGAGGGAGACAAGAGGCAGACAGGCAAAGCCAAUUCCCAGGGCUUGGCUCUGUGCUCAAGAGAAAUGAAUGCAAAUUUUCUCAUAUUUCCUUCCAUGUUUUCUCAGCUUCUAGAUGUGUGGGAGGAAAAGGAAGUUAUUCAGAAUCAAUUAAGACUUUCCACUACGUGGCUGCAUUUUGGAUUAUUGUUUGUCUUAUACCUACAGCCCAUUGUCUCUUGUAUGAGCUGAUUUCUACCUCCCUGUUCUGUUAUCUCUCAAUCACAAUAGUGUGAAUUUAGUUUCAAAGCAACUGAAAUUACUUGUAAAAAGACUGCUUGGGUACGCUUUUCAGGCCUGGUUAAAAAUCCCCUUAAAUACGUAAAAAAGUUUCCCAAAAUUAAAGUGGUCUUUUGUUUGGGCCUAUAGUAUCAAAACAAUAUUUGGGAAAUCUCUUGGUAUUGAGCUCUGAUAUCCAUUCAGAAGCCAUAAGACAUGAAUAGUAAGACACAGCCUUACUCAGAAAACUUAGGAAAGAACAAAUGCUUGGGUAAAGUACCCACAUAAUUUUUAAAUUCCUAAUUUGAAUUAGUGUAAUUACUUGUGGGUCCUCAAAAAAAGACAAAAAAAAAAAAGUCCUGAUGCUUCCUCAUAUUUUUAAACCUUUUAAGCUUCUCGUGUUAUUGAUACAGAAGGAAU